rnacentral:lncRNA from 1 species
AGACAUCCAGCAGCUCUGUAGACACCCGGUGAGCAGGGCAGUCUGCCUGCAAGUCCACCUCCAAAGGCUGAGGUGGGAUCGUCCUCAGAGCAAGGAAGCUACAAAGACUAGACUUCACUGAGUUUUGGGUUUGACGGAGAGACCUGCCUCAACACACCAGAAGGCAUCGGAUCCCAUUACUGAUGGUUGUGAGCCACCAUGUGGUUGCUGGAAAUUGAACUCAGGUCCUCUGGAAGAGCAGUCAGUGCUCUUAACCGCUGAGCGGUCUCUCCAGCGCCUACAUUUAUUUUUUAGGGUUUCUCUGCGUAUCCCUGGUUGUCCUUUGUAGACCAGGUGGCCUUGAACUCAGAAAUCCACCUGCCUCUGCCUCCCGAGUGCUGGAUUAAAGGUGUGUGCCACCACGCCCAGCUCUGGAACUCACAUCUUAUCUCAGCCUUCUCUGAGUUCUAGGACUGCAGGUGACUGUCAAGCUUUGGCUUGUUUCUGAAGUCAAGUUUUAGUUCCUGGAUGCAUCUUGGUAGGGAAAAGGCCGAGAUCUGCAAAGGAGAAAUGUUCCUUUUCCUGCGUUACAAGGGAGAAGACUGCGGAGAUGUCUGUAUCACAUGUGUACGAAUCACAUUUUACAGAAGACAAAAUUGAUUUGGGGUUUUCUGCUGCAUCCUAGAUUGAGGAAAUGAGCAGGAUUCUAAUUCUUUAGGAGCAACAAGAAAUGGACUACAUGGCUGCUUUUUUUCCCCUG